rnacentral:rRNA from 1 species
UACAGAGGUCUCAAGCGUUGUUCGGAUUCAUUGGGCGUAAAGGGUGCGUAGGCGGCGCGGUAAGUCGGGUGUGAAAUCUUGGAGCUUAACUCCGAAACUGCAUUCGAUACUGCCGUGCUUGAGGACUGGAGAGGAGAGUGGAAUUCCUGGUGUAGCGGUGAAAUGCGCAGAUAUCAGGAAGAACACCCGUGGCGAAGGCGGCUCUCUGGGACGGUACUGACGCUGAGACGCGAAAAGCGUGGGGGAGCGAACAGGG